rnacentral:rRNA from 1 species
AACGAACGCUGGCGGCAUGCCUAACACAUGCAAGUCGAACGAGACCUUCGGGUCUAGUGGCGCACGGGUGCGUAACGCGUGGGAACCUGCCUUUAGGUUCGGAAUAACUCAGAGAAAUUUGAGCUAAUACCGGAUGAUGUCUUCGGACCAAAGAUUUAUCGCCUUUAGAUGGGCCCGCGUUGGAUUAGCUAGUUGGUGGGGUAAAGGCCUACCAAGGCGACGAUCCAUAGCUGGUCUGAGAGGAUGAUCAGCCACACUGGGACUGAGACACGGCCCAGACUCCUACGGGAGGCAGCAGUGGGGGAUAUUGGACAAUGGGCGAAAGGCUGAUCCAGCAAUGCCGCGUGAGUGAUGAAGGCCUUAGGGUUGUAAAGCUCUUUUACCCGAGAUGAUAAUGACAGUAUCGGGAGAAUAAGCUCCGGCUAACUCCGUG